AAACGCCUGGGAAUUACGAGCGCAAGCCUAAAACCCAAAGGAUUUGACGGUGUCCCACCCACCUAGAGGAGCCUGUUCUAUUAUCGAUGAUCCACGAUAUACCUCACCAUUUUUUGCCUUUCCCAGCCUGUAUACCUCCGUCGAAAACUAACCAUAUGAAUGUCCUAGAGUAGGUCUAAUUGCCUCACACGCCAACACGUCAGGUCAAGGCGCAGCCUAUAAAAUGGAAAGCAGCGGGCUACAAUUUCUAACAUAAAACAAACGAAAAACUACAUGAAACAUAGUCAUGAAGGAGGAUUUAGUAGUAAAAGAAAGACAGCAAACUUCUUUUAACGCGGCCAUGGGACAUGUACAUACCGCCCGUCACCCUCUUCAACAGCUCUAACUAUGAUUCCUAAUACUAAACAAGCACUACAGAAGAGGCAAGUCGUAACAUGGUAAGUGUACCGGAAGGUGUGCUUGGUUAAACAAAAUGUAGCUUAAUUAAAGCCUUUCGCUUACACCGAAAAUAUAUCUAUUUAACUUAGAUCACUUUGAGCCUUAAAUCUAGCCUUAAUAACCCCCCUUAUACCCCCCCCCCACAAUCAAAACACAAUAAAACAUUUUAAUUGUUAAGUAAAGGAGAU
rnacentral:rRNA from 1 species